rnacentral:tRNA from 1 species
GCCUUCGUGGUGUAAUGGCCAGCACACUCGGCGCGGAUUCGAAGGGUCCGAGGUUUGAAUCCCGUCGAAGGCA